rnacentral:rRNA from 1 species
GGAUGAACGCUGGCGGCGUGCCUACUACAUGCAAGUCGAGCGAACAGACGAGGAGCUUGCUCCUCUGACGUUAGCGGCGGACGGGUGAGUAACACGUGGAUAACCUACCUAUAAGACUGGGAUAACUUCGGGAAACCGGAGCUAAUACCGGAUAACAUGUUGAACCGCAUGGUUUAACAGUGAAAGACGGUCUUGCUGUCACUUAUAGAUGGAUCCGCGCCGCAUUAGCUAGUUGGUAAGGUAACGGCUUACCAAGGCAACGAUGCGUAGCCGACCUGAGAGGGUGAUCGGCCACACUGGAACUGAGACACGGUCCAGACUCCUACGGGAGGCAGCAGUAGGGAAUCUUCCGCAAUGGGCGAAAGCCUGACGGAGCAACGCCGCGUGAGUGAAGAAGGUCUUCGGAUCGUAAAACUCUGUUAUUAGGGAAGAACAAAUGUGUAAGUAACUAUGCACGUCUUGACGGUACCUAAUCAGAAAGCCACGGCUAACUACGUG